GGUUAAGCGACUAAGCGUACACGGUGGAUGCCCUGGCAGUCAGAGGCGAUGAAGGACGUGCUAAUCUGCGAAAAGCGUCGGUAAGGUGAUAUGAACCGUUACAGCCGGCGAUGUCCGAAUGGGGAAACCCAGUGCAAUUCGUUGCACUAUCGUUAACUGAAUACAUAGGUUAACGAGGCGAACCGGGGGAACUGAAACAUCUAAGUACCCCGAGGAAAAGAAAUCAACCGAGAUUCCCCCAGUAGCGGCGAGCGAACGGGGAGCAGCCCAGAGUCUGAAUCAGCUUGUGUGUUAGUGGAACGGUCUGGAAAGUCCGACGGUACAGGGUGAUAGUCCCGUACACCAAAAUGCACAGGCUGUGAACUCGAAGAGUAGGGCGGGACACGUGGUAUCCUGUCUGAAUAUGGGGGGACCAUCCUCCAAGGCUAAAUACUCCUGACUGACCGAUAGUGAACCAGUACCGUGAGGGAAAGGCGAAAAGAACCCCGGCGAGGGGAGUGAAAAAGAACCUGAAACCGUGUACGUACAAGCAGUGGGAGCACCUUCGGGUGUGACUGCGUACCUUUUGUAUAAUGGGUCAGCGACUUAUAUUCUGUAGCAAGGUUAACCGUAUAGGGGAGCCGCAGGGAAACCGAGUCUUAACUGGGCGUUAAGUUGCAGGGUAUAGACCCGAAACCCGGUGAUCUAGCCAUGGGCAGGUUGAAGGUUGGGUAACACUAACUGGAGGACCGAACCGACUAAUGUUGAAAAAUUAGCGGAUGACUUGUGGCUGGGGGUGAAAGGCCAAUCAAACCGGGAGAUAGCUGGUUCUCCCCGAAAGCUAUUUAGGUAGCGCCUCGUGAACUCAUCUUCGGGGGUAGAGCACUGUUUCGGCUAGGGGGUCAUCCCGACUUACCAACCCGAUGCAAACUACGAAUACCGAAGAAUGUUAUCACGGGAGACACACGGCGGGUGCUAACGUCCGUCGUGAAGAGGGAAACAACCCAGACCGCCAGCUAAGGUCCCAAAGUCAUGGUUAAGUGGGAAACGAUGUGGGAAGGCACAGACAGCCAGGAUGUUGGCUUAGAAGCAGCCAUCAUUUAAAGAAAGCGUAAUAGCUCACUGGUCGAGUCGGCCUGCGCGGAAGAUGUAACGGGGCUAAACCAUGCACCGAAGCUGCGGCAGCGACACUAUGUGUUGUUGGGUAGGGGAGCGUUCUGUAAGCCUGCGAAGGUGUGCUGUGAGGCAUGCUGGAGGUAUCAGAAGUGCGAAUGCUGACAUAAGUAACGAUAAAGCGGGUGAAAAGCCCGCUCGCCGGAAGACCAAGGGUUCCUGUCCAACGUUAAUCGGGGCAGGGUGAGUCGACCCCUAAGGCGAGGCCGAAAGGCGUAGUCGAUGGGAAACAGGUUAAUAUUCCUGUACUUGGUGUUACUGCGAAGGGGGGACGGAGAAGGCUAUGUUAGCCGGGCGACGGUUGUCCCGGUUUAAGCAUGUAGGCUGGUUAUCCAGGCAAAUCCGGAUAAUCAAGGCUGAGGUGUGAUGACGAGGCACUACGGUGCUGAAGUAACAAAUGCCCUGCUUCCAGGAAAAGCCUCUAAGCAUCAGGUAACAUCAAAUCGUACCCCAAACCGACACAGGUGGUCAGGUAGAGAAUACCAAGGCGCUUGAGAGAACUCGGGUGAAGGAACUAGGCAAAAUGGUGCCGUAACUUCGGGAGAAGGCACGCUGGUGUGUAGGUGAAGUCCCUGCGGAUGGAGCUGAGACCAGUCGAAGAUACCAGCUGGCUGCAACUGUUUAUUAAAAACACAGCACUGUGCAAACACGAAAGUGGACGUAUACGGUGUGACGCCUGCCCGGUGCCGGAAGGUUAAUUGAUGGGGUUAUCCGUAAGGAGAAGCUCUUGAUCGAAGCCCCGGUAAACGGCGGCCGUAACUAUAACGGUCCUAAGGUAGCGAAAUUCCUUGUCGGGUAAGUUCCGACCUGCACGAAUGGCGUAAUGAUGGCCAGGCUGUCUCCACCCGAGACUCAGUGAAAUUGAACUCGCUGUGAAGAUGCAGUGUACCCGCGGCAAGACGGAAAGACCCCGUGAACCUUUACUAUAGCUUGACACUGAACAUUGAGCCUUGAUGUGUAGGAUAGGUGGGAGGCUUUGAAGCGUGGACGCCAGUCUGCGUGGAGCCAACCUUGAAAUACCACCCUUUAAUGUUUGAUGUUCUAACGUUGGCCCCUGACCGGGGUUGCGGACAGUGUCUGGUGGGUAGUUUGACUGGGGCGGUCUCCUCCCAAAGCGUAACGGAGGAGCACGAAGGUUAGCUAAUCCUGGUCGGACAUCAGGAGGUUAGUGCAAUGGCAUAAGCUAGCUUGACUGCGAGCGUGACGGCGCGAGCAGGUGCGAAAGCAGGUCAUAGUGAUCCGGUGGUUCUGAAUGGAAGGGCCAUCGCUCAACGGAUAAAAGGUACUCCGGGGAUAACAGGCUGAUACCGCCCAAGAGUUCAUAUCGACGGCGGUGUUUGGCACCUCGAUGUCGGCUCAUCACAUCCUGGGGCUGAAGUAGGUCCCAAGGGUAUGGCUGUUCGCCAUUUAAAGUGGUACGCGAGCUGGGUUUAGAACGUCGUGAGACAGUUCGGUCCCUAUCUGCCGUGGGCGCUGGAGAAUUGAGGGGGGCUGCUCCUAGUACGAGAGGACCGGAGUGGACGCAUCACUGGUGUUCGGGUUGUCAUGCCAAUGGCACUGCCCGGUAGCUAAAUGCGGAAGAGAUAAGUGCUGAAAGCAUCUAAGCACGAAACUUGCCCCGAGAUGAGUUCUCCCUGAGACUUUAAGUCUCCUGAAGGAACGUUGAAGACGACGACGUUGAUAGGCCGGGUGUGUAAGCGCAGCGAUGCGUUGAGCUAACCGGUACUAAUGAACCGUGAGGCUUAACCUU
rnacentral:rRNA from 1 species